UCUCCGUAGGUGAACCUGCGGAGGGAUCAUUACUGAGUGAGGGUCUCCGGGCCCGACCUCCAACCCUUUGUGAAUUCGACCCAGUUGCCUCGGGGGCGACCCUGCCGUUCGCGGCGUGGGGCCCCCGGUGGACCACCCAACCCUGCAUCGUUGCGUCUGAGUCGAAAUAUAAAUCAAUCAAAACUUUCAACAACGGAUCUCUUGGUUCUGGCAUCGAUGAAGAACGCAGC
rnacentral:misc_RNA from 1 species